rnacentral:rRNA from 1 species
AGACCGAUAGCGAACAAGUAGAGUGAUCGAAAGAUGAAAAGCACUUUGAAAAGAGGGUUAAAUAGUACGUGAAAUUGCUGAAAGGGAAGCGCUCAUGACCAGACUUGGGCUCGGUGAAUCAUCCGGCGUUCUCGCCGGUGCACUUUGCCGGCCCAGGCCAGCAUCAGCUCGCCUCGGGGGAUAAAGGCUUCGGGAAUGUAGCUCCCUCGUGGAGUGUUAUAGACCGUUGCGUAAUACCCUGGGGCGGGCUGAGGUACGCGUUCUGCAAGGAUGCUGGCGUAAUGGUCAUCAGUGACCCGUCUUGAAACACGGACCAAG